ensembl:miRNA
UUAGGUUGGUGCAAAAGUAAUUGCAGUUUUUGCCAUUACUUUUAGUAGCAAAAACAGCAAUUACUUUUGCACCAAUUUAAUA